rnacentral:rRNA from 1 species
GAUGAACGCUGGCGGCGUGCCUAAUACAUGCAAGUCGAGCGAACAGAUUAGGAGCUUGCUCCUCUGACGUUAGCGGCGGACGGGUGAGUAACACGUGGAUAACCUACCUAUAAGACUGGGAUAACUUCGGGAAACCGGAGCUAAUACCGGAUAAUAUAUUGAACCGCAUGGUUCAAUAGUGAAAGACGGUUUUGCUGUCACUUAUAGAUGGAUCCGCGCCGCAUUAGCUAGUUGGUAAGGUAACGGCUUACCAAGGCGACGAUGCGUAGCCGACCUGAGAGGGUGAUCGGCCACACUGGAACUGAGACACGGUCCAGACUCCUACGGGAGGCAGCAGUAGGGAAUCUUACGCGAUGGGCGAAAGCCUGACGGAGCAACGCCGCGUGAGUGAUGAAGGUCUUCGGAUCGUAAAACUCUGUUAUUAGGGAAGAACAAAUGUGUAAGUAACUAUGCACGUCUUGACGGUACCUAAUCAGAAAGCCACGGCUAACUACGUG